UCAGAAAGUGGAAAUCCUUCAAUUGCAGCGGAGCUGAAGGAACAGAUUGGCAUCAAUUUGUAAAUGACAUUCUACUUCUGUUUGUUCAUACCAAUAAUUGACCUCUGUUGUUUCUGGUUGGAAAGGAAAGAAAGCAAGCCUUUGCUUGUGGGGCAGGAGGAGCAGUUACAUCUCAGCAGAAGGCUUCAUAUGGCCCUUUGGUAAUGUCCUGGACAGAUUUGACAGAGACUUUUUUUUCUGACUUUGCCAUUGAGAUCAUAUAUAUUUCAAACAGUUCUGAAGUUGUAAAACCCUGAGAGCUUGGGAGCUCUGCUGGCACAAGUCCUCAAAUGAAAAUCAGGAGCCCAAUCAGGCAAGUGCUUCUUGCUAUCAAACAAAGACUACUUGAUUUCCACGGCAAUUUUUUCAACCAUGACUGGAUCAGCGCCUUACACUCAGUUGACAAUAGAGGUGUUACCAUUUUAGAAUUUGUAGAUUAUGAGGUGCUGAUCGUGUCAGUUUAAGGAUGCUGUGUUGUUUCUUGUUUCUUUUCGCCCUGAUUUCAUUCAUUAUCCUAUCAAAGUUUUUGUUUCUUUUGCCUCUCUUUUUCAUUUAUGAAGUUGGGGUUUCUGCGAGUAUGUGACUAUUUGGAUGUAUUAUAGGAGGUGAUUUUACACGAGUGCAAUUAACAAUCUAUUUUUGUUGUGCUCUGAUUUUAGUAAGUAAUCUAUGUAUUAAUUAUUCAAAAA
rnacentral:misc_RNA from 1 species